UGGAUGGAGCUUCUCGUCAGCCUGGAGCCUCUGGGAGCCGGUCUAAGGACUUUGCUGACCCUACCUGUCUCUCCUCCACUCUUGUUAGAGAAACCCACCCGGAGACCUGCGAUUCCCAAGCCCGAGUCUCUGUUGAAACCGGUGGACGGUCUCCCUGACGUUUGAUGAGGUCCGCCCUCAGCACGGGCAGGUGGCAGGGCAUCGUGAGCCUGGCUGCAUGAAUACAGGAGGUGACCUCGGGCUGGCUCCGGGGAAAAAGGUUGCGACAGGCUCUGGAACUGGGUUUGUCCGGCUAUGGCGCUCCUGGCCCUGUGACCUUCAGCAAGCUACUUCACCCCUCCUCGGCUCUGUUUCCUUCUGGGCUCGGCAUCUAUUUUUAGUGCAUCGAGUAUCUACUAUGUGCCAGGCACUGUUUUAGGAGGUGGAGACACAGCAACGAGCAACGGAGACCCAGUCCUUGUGCCGGUGGUGCCGACGUUCCAGUGUGGGAAGCAGAUAACGAGGAAGGAGGCAGACACCUGUUUUGUCGCAUGGUGAGGAGUGCCACCGAGCAAAGUCAAGCAGAGGGAGAGACUAGAGAACAGCGGGACUUGUUCUUUUAGACGAGCCAUGGGCCGAGGCUGGCUCCCUGUAGCCCGUGGUCAUAAAUAAAGUUUUAUCGGAACACAGC